AUGUCCUCUAGAAAGCAUUUAUCUGGUAGUGCCAAAAGGAAGAGAAAGAAGGAAAAAGAUGAAGAGGUAAAAUCCCUAAAAGGAUCACUUAAGAAUUUUUUCAGACCUGCUAGUUCUUCUAGAGAUCCCCUGGAAUUGGCCAUAGUAUGUGUUGAAGAACAACCAGCUGAAAAUACAAAUUCUAUUGAUGAUGAUAUGAAUGGCGGUAAUAGCAAUUCCAGUGAGCAAGAAAAUGUAACUCAUUCACCAAAUUCUGAAUCACCGGGUGUUGAUAAACAACAACCAUUCACUGUUGAUAUUUUUGAUUCACAAAACUGGGAUAAUCUGGAUGAUAAGGCUAGAGAUAUUUUAGUUGAGAAGGGUCCCGUAAGAAAUGAUGAUAUUGUGUUCCCUCCGGAUAGUAACUCUAGACAUUUUUCAAAAUCUUAUUAUUCGAGAAAGUUGAGCAAUGGAGAGGUACAUGACAGGAAAUGGUUGGUUUACUCUGAACAUGCUAACAAAGUGUACUGCUUUUGUUGCAAGCUUUUCAAAUCCCAUAGCAACAAGAGUGCGUUAGCAGGUAAUGGAUUGAGUGAUUGGAAGCAUCUUAGCGAGAGGCUUAAAGAACAUGAAAAUGGUGUAGAGCAUAUUAAAACCAUGAACACUUGGAAUGAGUUAAAAGUUAGACUAGCCAAAAAUAAAACCAUUGAUAAGGAUUUGCAGCAGCAAAUCAAUAAGGAGAAAGAACGUUUGAGACAAGUGUUAGUGAGAUUAGUAGCCAUUGUUAAAUAUCUUGGUAAACGUAGCUUGGCUUUUCGUGGAUCUAGUGAGAAACUUUACCAACACAAUAAUGGUAAUUUUUUGGCAUGUGUAGAGAUGAUUGCUGAAUUUGAUCCAAUAAUGCAAGAACAUCUUAGACGAAUUCAAAAUGAUGAAAUUUAUCAUCACUAUCUCAGCCACAAAAUUCAGAAUGAGUUGAUUUCUCUAUUGGCCUCUAGUGUUACUAGUUCUAUCUUACAAAUUAUUAAAGAGGCUAAAUAUUUCUCCAUAAUUCUUGAUUGUACUCCGGAUGUUAGCCAUCAAGAACAAAUGACCCUAAUUAUUCGAUGUGUUAACAUGUCAAAUAAGAAAAUAAAAAUAGAAGAAUUUUUUAUGGAAUUUUUGACAGUGGAUGACACUUCUGGUUUGGGUCUUUUUAAUGUACUUCUUGACGCAAUAGAUUCAUAUGGCUUAAAUAUUGAUAAUGUAAGGGGCCAAGGCUACGAUAAUGGUUCCAACAUGAAAGGAAAUAAACAAGGGGUACAAAGUCGUUUACUUGAAAAAAAUCCAAGAGCUCUAUAUAUGCCAUGUGCGUGUCAUAGCCUCAAUCUUACUUUGUGUGAUAUGGCAAAUUCUUGCAGUAAAGCUAUAUCCUUCUUUGGAAUUGUGCAACGAAUUUAUAUUUUAUUUUCAAGUUCCACUAAAAGAUGGAAGUUUUACUUGAUCAUAUUCCUAGUUUAA
rnacentral:rRNA from 1 species